UGCUCUUGCUUUAAUGUCAUCCUCUCGGGUGUUUUUGGACUUUGAUGUUCAACCAACCCGUGAUUAUGUCACUUGGUUGGACUCAAAUUUAGAUGUGGCUAAUAGGGUUGAUGCAAAGGUGGUCACAAAGACUGAAACAAUGACAAUAGGGGAGCUAUUUUCCUAUAUCAAGCAGGAAGUAGAGGUAAUAUAUUUCCCACGUUUUACAAAUGCAUUAUGAGAAGGUUAUUUGGUUGGUGUCGGAUGUAUGUUUGAGACUUCUUUUCCCAGUUCUAUUUUUUGUUGACAUGUCCGUAUCUGAUUACAUUUGUCUAGAAGACUCAUCCAUUUUGCGUAAAGUCUCAUCCGUUUAUAUUGAUCUCAACAUGUUCUUUGCAGUAGUCAUCAUAGUUCGAAUUUCUGUCUAAACACUCAAGUAACCAAGAAGACUCAGUUUAGAAAUGUACCUGCUGAUGAAUUGUGAUGGAAGUAUUUUCAUUGUGGCAUGUUGCUUGGUUUGAGUGCACAUCAACUGUUGAUGCUGUUUUCCACGGUUCUCCUUGGUAUUAUAUUGGCUGCGGUGUGUGCCAUACUAAGGCAAUCAAAGGGCCUACAUCACUCAUGUGCAAGAAAUGUGGAAAACAUGAAGUAGAUGGUGUUCCACAGUACCUCACAAAACUGUCUGUUUAUGACAACAAUGACCAGGCGGUUUUGUUAUCCUUGGUGAAGCUGGGCGUGAGCUGAAUGGGAAACAAGGAUCUGAGUUGGUUGAGAGCUACUUUGAGGCCAAUGAGAGCAUGGGCGAUGAUCACUUAAUCCCGGUGCCACAGACCUUGGUUGAUACCAUCGGACGGACAUACAGGUUCAUUGUCAAGGUAUCAAACCGCAAUCUUAAAGGCCAGAUACACACUCUGACUGUCACAAAGGUACUCCCUCUUGAUGCUCCUGAACCUGUAGAAGCUUUGGUAGAAACUGUCUCUGAGGAACCUGUGGAUGGGAGGGUGAAGAGAGGUUCUGACCUGGUUGAAUCAGGUGAAGCCAAACGUGUUAAGUCUGGCAAUUAGAUCUCCAUUUAUACUCUCACAUGUUGGAGAAUAUGUUGCGGAUUAAGUACUGGUUUUCAUUUUAUUUAAAGACUAUGUUGUGCUUCAUUUUCAUACUUUGACUUUCAACAUUUGAGCUAUCUUGGCUCUGGACUAUUUUGGUUUUAGUUAUCUUUUGCUUAUU